CAGCCGCCACCGGGAAUACGUAGGGUGCGAGCGUUAAUCGGAAUUACUGGGCGUAAAGCGUGCGCAGGCGGUUUUGUAAGACAGGCGUGAAAUCCCCGGGCUCAACCUGGGAAUGGCGCUUGUGACUGCAAAGCUAGAGUGCGGCAGAGGGGGAUGGAAUUCCGCGUGUAGCAGUGAAAUGCGUAGAUAUGCGGAGGAACACCGAUGGCGAAGGCAAUCCCCUGGGCCUGCACUGACGCUCAUGCACGAAAGCGUGGGGAGCAAACAGGAUUAGAUACCCGCGUAGUCCCUGUCUCUUAUU
rnacentral:rRNA from 1 species